CGGAGAGAAAGCAACAGAAAGGGGCGGAGGACAAAGAGAAGCAGAAAGGGAACAAGACAGAGAAAGAGAAACUGAUAACAGGCGGAAGUCAUUGAGGAAAGGAGAACUCGGGAAUGUUGGUCGUGAAACUAGAGACAGAGACAGAGCAGGAGAUAACAAAAGAAUAAGAGAGAAGGAAAGACUGAGAACGAUUAUAAGGAGAAACUGAGAGAGGUUCACUAAGAAACGGAAAAGGAGAAAGUGUAAGAAUGAGUUUAGGGCAAAGGGCCCUCUAAACCUCUCUCCCUCUCUCUCUCUCCCGCUCUUCCUCCCCGCCCCGGCCCCCCCCCCCGCCCUCCCUCUCCCUUCUCUCUACUCCCUAUCCCACACCGUUAGGUUUCUACAGCUCUGGGCUGGGAGCCAAGACUCGCUUCUCUUCUGCUACCUCAGACGACACCUGCCAGGAGAGAGGAACGGGGUGACUGUGUACCAGAGCAAGAUGAGGUGCCCAGGCCUGGCAGAGAGACCUCUGUCUUCCCAAUACCUCUCAAACAGCAAGGUGAGCUGCCCAGGGGCGUUAGGGAGGGGCAACUCUGAUGCCCCUCACCACCAAAGCCCCUCUAAUUUGGAUGUCCCACUCCACCCCACCUGGAUGUCAAAAGGCCACGCCCUGGCUUCUUAGACCCCUGGGCUUUCACCUGUGGCCAGGAUGAGGGAAGUCCCUGGAUCAGGAACAGAAAGCCACCACCACCGCCCAACCCAUCCUCUAGUUAUCUGGCCCUAGGCCGCUCACUUGCAGGCUGGGUGGCUGGACCGAGUCACAUAAUGUUCCACUGUUACCCCAGCAGCUGGGACAACCAUUGAGACCUCUCCUCCCAAAUAGGCACCCUUGAGGAGGUUGGAGAUGAAGGGCUGGGACAGAGUCUUCUUUGCUGGGGGCGACAGCCUGCUAGGGACUCAACAGCAGUUUCCUUAGAAGGAAGCGGCGCAGUUUGGAAGCCGUGGCAGGCGCCGAGAGCGCCUCUGAACCCGAGCCUGGGAGGGGAGAGAGAGGAGAGGAGACGCAAAGGGGCUGCUCUUUGGCCCCAUUCCCCGACCUUGGAGGAUUCCUCCCCAGCCCCCCCCCCCCCCGGCGGCUGCAGUCCCCCCCACUGAGAACGCGACCUCCUCGCCUGGACUCCCGGCUCCGCGGAUUCGGUCUCCCUGACCAGAGCCCUUUCCACCCCACCCUAGCGCUUCCAGUCCCAACCACUGGAGACCUAGUUGAGCGAAGUGGGGAAAGGGCAGCAAGCACCCAACGAGAGACCCAGCAGAGCCUGAUGGCCCUAAGAAGUUAGUAGACUUUCUUCCCACUUGUCCUUCCAGCUUCCCCCCCCCACACACACACACCCUAUCUCCCCAGGGCUCAUCUGGGCCCUGGUCCACUCUGCCUUCCAGAGAACUGUAUCAACCGAACUCCUGGGGAAGGAGGUGCUAAGCCCCUUCUUCCUUCCUGGAUUGCUUGUUUCCACUGCCUGGCUCCCUCCCCAGAGGAAGAUUGACCAGGGAGAUUGCCACCGUCGUUGUGCAAAUUGUGCAUCGCACAACUCCUAUUUCUCUCGUAGCCCCUUGUAGAUUUGUGUAGCUGUUAUGACAGUUUUCCAGCAGGUGGCAGACAAGCAUUUCCAGCUACAAGGCAGCCAAGCCAAAGUACAGAUCAGAGACCGUCUUCCAGACUCCCAGGACAACGAUCUUUCAGUCUCCCAGCAAGUAGGCCACCUUCCACUUUCUCCAAGUGUAAACUGUCCAGGUGAUAGGAAGAAGAGAGGGGCUGGAAGCUGAACUUGUAGGGACAGAACACAAAAGUUGCAAACUGACGGCACCUACUGGCAACUAUCAAGACUGCAGAAGAUCUGGAGAGUUCUGGGGGGGGGGGGGGGGGGGGGGGGUUGCGGGAGGGCCCGGGGACAAGAUUCUGGGAUUCUCUCCCUGCUAUCUCACAGACAAACUGGGGUCUUUUCUGUCUUGGAUAAGGGCAAACAGAGCCAGGCUCUUUACGUCCCCGGGGGAAGCCCAGCCUGCACCUGAUUCAGAAAACUUCCCCUAGCUCUAUCCCCCUCCAUCAUCACUGAGGCGCCAACGUAUUGUAUGAACUUGGACACCACCCCUUGGAGCUGGGAUUGUCCCUAACUAUAAAAUGGAGGUACAUCAUCUCCACCUAUUCUGCCUCUUGAAGCGCUUGUGGGAAUAAAAUGGGAACUGAAAGGAUGGGUUCUAACCCCAAAGCCAGACUUGCCCCCUUGACAGCAAACCUGAGAGAGCUAAAGGUGCUGGGACAUGGAGGAAGGAGUUGCAGGAGAGGCUGGACUGAAGCCAAGAGAAGGACCUGGAAGUGAAGCAUGAGUGCAGCCUUCCAAACAGCUGUCAGAAGUUCUCUAAACAAUUGCCGAGGGAAAAAGACUAUGGUACAGAGUGCAAGAUGGGUGCAGAGAAGGAGAGUGGAAGUGGCAUUGGCAUGGAAAUGGACCCCAGAACUCCCCAGAGCUUUGGCUUCCCAACCCCUCCCUGGCGCCCUGGACUUCCCACUGUGCCUGCCCGGAAUAGGGGGGCUCAACUCCCUUCCAGGUUGGCUGAUGUCCAGACCCCAGGUAGAGCAUCCUCCAGGGGGCGCUGCAGGUGUGCUCUGAGCAAUGGCACAUCAGUACAGCUGCCUCCUUGUGCACCGGGGCCCCAUACUUGGAGAGAACAGAUCAGGAGAGCUAGGAUCUCCAUAGAGACCCCAUAGUACAGAGGGAAGUCUGGUUCAGAGGCUAGAGCCUCGGUCCUUCCCUCAGGACACGUAGCUCGAGAAAAGGACACCCAGACAGAGGAUGGGGAGUGGAGAGGAGAGCCCAUCUGCAGUUGAGCUGGCCAGGAUCUGGUUUCAUAUCUCCAGUCCAACCAGCUUGGCCACUUGCCAGCUUUGUGGCUACUUCUCCUUCCUCAGCUUCAGUUUUAUCAUCUGCAAAAUGGGGGAGGGGAACUCCUUGAAUUGUGAGCCCCCUCCCAGCUUGGGCAGUCUAGGAAUCUAGAAUCUCUGGAGUCUUUUUGCCUGGUCCCAGGCCCUAUGCCGGCAUGGCUCCCAACCCCCCCGAGUUUGCAGUUUCCAAGCCAACUGACACCCAUGGAAUCACUUUCUCAUUGGUCAAAGAAUGUGUAGGAGACAAGCCAAGUGAAUGCUGUUGAGUCCUAUGAGAGUUCUGUCACUGCCCAGAGAGGUGACGAGGCUCACUCGAGGGCAUACAGCUAGUAAUUAAUAGAGCCAAGACUUAAGCCAAAUAUAUUUACUACCCGCUACA